rnacentral:rRNA from 1 species
AGUGAACGCUGGCGGCAGGCCUAAUACAUGCAAGUCGAACGGCAGCACAGCAGAGCUUGCUCUGUGGGUGGCGAGUGGCGGACGGGUGAGGAAUACGUGGGAAUCUGCCCAGUCGUGGGGGAUAACGUAGGGAAACUUACGCUAAUACCGCAUGCGCCCUUCGGGGAAAGCCGGGGACCGUUCGGGCCGUGGCGCGAUUGGAUGAGCCCACGUCGGAUUAGCUAGUUGGCGGGGUAAAGGGACCCACCAAGGCGACGAUCCGUAGCUGGUCUGAGAGGAUGAUCAGCCACACUGGAACUGAGACACGGUCCAGACUCCUACGGGAGGCAGCAGUAGGGAAUAUUGGAC